CAUAUACUAACCCUCUCCUAAAUGAUAGAUGAGGCAGGUGACUUAUCUCAUGUAUUUUCUUUUCUGUAAAUUACAACAAGUCUAUUUUAGUCAACUUAAGGGUAUGUUGAAUAUGACUGUUAAUGAAGAUAGUCAUUCUUGUUAUUGAAUGUGCACAAUCUGAUUCAUUUUAAAGUAGUUCCUUAUCUUUAUGACUAGACUAGGCUGCUACUUUAGCGAGUGUUUCACUUCAACACAGAUUGAUGCAAGAAAGAAAGAAUUCUUUUGCAAUAAAGCAAGCAUUGAGUGCCCAAAGCAGGAGAGCUUGAAUUUUUUGCCGACGUAAAUUUAAGGUAACCUUCUCCAUGCAUAUUUUUUUUCAACCAUUUGUAUCUAAAUAUCAGUAAUCAUUUUGAACUAUAUGCUCAGGCCGACCUUUUUAUUUGAUGUUAUUGGUGUGGUGUGUGUAUAAUUGUUAACUUGGUUGCGGUUUUAAUAAUAGGUCGUCACACAUUACAGAAAACUAUUUUCCAUUCUGUGUCUCUAUGCUCAUUUUGUGCCCGGGUGCAGCUGUGAAGGAACACUACAGGUAGAGAAGAAAGAAAGGAAGAAUGAUGGUUACUUUUCUUUAUAAAAUUUGGUUCAGGAUGCCGUUUUACCUGUUGUAAUACCUUCAGCAUAGAAGCAGUAGUGAUCUGCUCCUCCAAAGAUCUAUAGCUUGUGGAUGCGGCGGAUGUGGCACAGGGAGCAGAUGAAUUGGGAAUAAGAGGACCCCCGGCGCGCGCACAAAUUGUUUCUACCUGACGGCUGAUAGUGAGGAUGCCUCUGACCUGUCCCGAGAAGGUUCGAGCCGAAGUACGACUUGUACAACGCAUCACCAAUUCGUCCGACAGUGUAAAAUGCGUUUGUGUUAGCUGAGUGAAAAUUAGAGAUCAGCCUGGUGGUACUUUAUUAUUUUAUUCUAUAGCUUGAUCUGCCAAAUGCUAUUAAGGAAAUGAAGUUUCUUCCUCGAUCAA